rnacentral:rRNA from 1 species
UAGGUGGCGAGCGUUGUCCGGAUUUACUGGGCGUAAAGGAUGCGUAGGCGGAUGUUUAAGUCAGAUGUGAAAAUCCCGAGCUUAACUUGGGAACUGCAUUUGAAACUGGAUAUCUAGAGUGCGGGAGAGGAGAAUGGAAUUCCUAGUGUAGCGGUGAAAUGCGUAGAGAUUAGGAAGAACACCAGUGGCGAAGGCGAUUCUCUGGACCGUAACUGACGCUGAGGCAUGAAAGCGUGGGUAGCAAACAGGA